GAUGAAAAGCAUUCACGAAAAUCACCUAUCUGAUGGCUAGACAACUUAUCUCCAUCACCGAUCAAAAAAAUCUCCGCACAUAUAACGAAGGGACCCUUUAACAAACUGUCCAUCUAUCUCAAGUCCAUGAGAUUCUAGCUGCUGAAGGUCCUCAAGCAGUGACUGAAUAAUCUUGUGCAAGGUGAAUUUUGCUACAGUGACAGUUUUCACAAGAAGAACAAGAUAUUUGCUGUCAACUUUUGAGCGAAAUUGGGGUGGGAAUUUAGAGCUGUCAGAUAACUAGCCAGGACUUUAUGCUUUUCACGUUUGCUUCCAAUUGGAUUGUAGAGUUCAAACUCAUCAAAGUAAAGUUACGAUCUAAUCGACACAUUACGACCUAAUCGACCGCUAUCGAAGAAAGCCGGCAGCGCGACACCAGUCUUAGAGGCCAUGCAAACACUCGCGCGACCGAAAUCUAAUUUCGAUUUCGAAGGCCAUGCGUUGUUUUGAAUUCCGCAUUGGCGCUGUGGUUGCGUGGGGCGCGCAUGCGCGUUGUGUGCGUUGUAUGGUUUGGCGCCUUUUCGUCAUGUUUUCGUUCCCGCUCUGCCAGCUGUGCCGCUCUGCCUGGCUCAGCGCCUAUUUCGAACCCAUGCGUGCGCGUUUUGGAAGUUAUGGCAGGAUGCGUUUGCAUCGUCGUGCUGAAGGAUGGCCAGCGGAAAAAAGUUUCACUCCCUAACGGUGCCUACGGCGAACUGAUGGAUGCUCUCGCUUCCUUAACCAACAUACAUGACAAGACCUUGAUCCAAAUGUAUGAUGAAGAGCUAGACGACUAUGUUGAUCUUGAGGAAGGAAGUGACGUCCCAAACAAGGCUAAAAUAAAAUUGGCGCGGAAACAAGGCCUUCAUGUUGAUGGUGCCAGCCCUACGUUGACUUUUGUGCAGAGUGCAGGAGGAGCUGUGGAAAUGGCCGAGCAGAGUGCCGUGACAGAAAACGCACAAAACGUGCAGUCCAUCCAGUCGGUGCCACUGGAAAAGGAACGGGAUUUUUUAGAUUUUGUGCUCCCUUCUUUUGGGCACUACGACGAGGUGCUGAGGAGAAAAAUACAAAUAAAUGGCGCUGUGCGCCGUGCCAUAGUGGACAAGCUCUUUGCCGCAUACAUCAAGAUCGCAUGGUACCCGUCCAGGCAGCUCUAUCGGGUAGCUGCUGAGAGAUUGGUCACCGCUCAUCCACACCUUGCAGAUAGGGUCGGUUGCAGCCUGGAAUCAUGGGUGAUGGCCCUGAGGAACAAGUUCCAACAACACAGGAAAAAAGCUACAAAACUGCUCGGAGGAAAUGCUAAUUCAAAAGAAAUGCUGUCUGCCAAAGCAAAUGCAGGCACCAUCUGAAGAAGUGGCAAACAACAAAUUGUGCCGUCUUUUUGACUGCAGCCAUCUUACUACAUAUGGAGAAACCGUUGAGUCCUUGCAAAUUCAUAACGAAAGGCUCCAGAAUAAUGCAGCCUGCCACGAUGAAGCAACAGGAAGGCCAAGGUUGCGGGCAACAGCACUGGACAGGCAUAAAGAGCUUCGCAGCCUCACCCUGUCGGAUGCUCUUUUACUGUUUCCAUUUCUUGGAACUGAGGCAUUGGAACAAGCCCUGCUCACACCUUGCCUUGUGGAGAAAGGACUUACUCUACACAUUGACGGGGAGCCCGUUUUGAGUGUGCCAUCACUUCUUGCAGGAAUGGCGUGCCUGUUUGCAUCGUUUUGGGUAUUCCAUGUGGAAUACCCAAAAAAAGGCACACAAAAUGCUCACAUUCUUUGAGCACGCGUUCCUACACCUUUCACGCAUGAAGCCGAGUGUCAAAGCUCUGGAACUUAUAAAUUUUUUUUAAUGAGUAACAUUAAUUUAGUUUCACAAUUGUAGUUUUGUAGUUUUCUUCAAGUACGUUGUGCAAGCUGGCAUUUUGGACUUCUGUGCCUUGAGAAGAGGUGAAAAAAAAGUAUGACAGACAAAUGUUAAUAUUGCAUUUUUUUGUGCAAGGUUUUUUUUUUUCUUAAACCUUGGCCAUGUGUCGCAUGUGGAAUACGGCGUGCACUUGUACAACCAAUGUGUACAUUUUUUUAUUGCAAUAUUGCAAACAAGUUCUGUGGUAUCCCGCAAGGUGGAGGAAAGAUUAAGAAAGGGAAAAUAGACAACCACCUGUUUGUAGCAUGAAGCCACAAGAAAAUUCA